rnacentral:rRNA from 1 species
UGGGGAAUAUUGCACAAUGGGGGAAACCCUGAUGCAGCGACGCCGCGUGAACGAAGAAGGUAUUCGUAUCGUAAAGUUCUGUCCUAUGGGAAGAUAAUGACAGUACCAUAGAAGAAAGCUCCGGCUAAAUACGUGCCAGCAGCCGCGGUAAUACGUAUGGAGCGAGCGUUGUCCGGAAUUAUUGGGCGUAAAGGGUACGCAGGCGGUUUAAUAAGUCGAAUGUUAAAGAUCGGGGCUCAACCCCGCAAAGCAUUGGAAACUGAUAAACUUGAGUAGUGGAGAGGAAAGUGGAAUUCCUAGUGUAGUGGUGAAAUACGUAGAUAUUAGGAGGAAUACCAGUAGCGAAGGCGACUUUCUGGACACAAACUGACGCUGAGGUACAAAAGCGUGGGGACCAAACAGG